GGUUAAGCGACUAAGCGUACACGGUGGAUGCCCUGGCAGUCAGAGGCGAUGAAGGGCGUGCUAAUCUGCGAUAAGCGCCGGUAAGGUGAUAUGAACCGUUAUAACCGGCGAUACCCGAAUGGGGAAACCCAGUGUGACUCGUCACACUAUCAUUAACUGAAUCCAUAGGUUAAUGAGGCGAACCGGGGGAACUGAAACAUCUAAGUACCCCGAGGAAAAGAAAUCAACCGAGAUUCCCCCAGUAGCGGCGAGCGAACGGGGAGGAGCCCAGAGCCUGAAUCAGCAUGUGUGUUAGUGGAAGCGUCUGGAAAGGCGCGCGAUACAGGGUGACAGCCCCGUACACAAAAGCGCAUGUGCUGUGAGCUCGAUGAGUAGGGCGGGACACGUGGUAUCCUGUCUGAAUAUGGGGGGACCAUCCUCCAAGGCUAAAUACUCCUGACUGACCGAUAGUGAACCAGUACCGUGAGGGAAAGGCGAAAAGAACCCCGGCGAGGGGAGUGAAAAAGAACCUGAAACCGUGUACGUACAAGCAGUGGGAGCACAGGUUUACCUGUGUGACUGCGUACCUUUUGUAUAAUGGGUCAGCGACUUAUAUUCUGUAGCAAGGUUAACCGUAUAGGGGAGCCGUAGGGAAACCGAGUCUUAACCGGGCGUUAAGUUGCAGGGUAUAGACCCGAAACCCGGUGAUCUAGCCAUGGGCAGGUUGAAGGUUGGGUAACACUAACUGGAGGACCGAACCGACUAAUGUUGAAAAAUUAGCGGAUGACCUGUGGCUGGGGGUGAAAGGCCAAUCAAACCGGGAGAUAGCUGGUUCUCCCCGAAAGCUAUUUAGGUAGCGCCUCGUGAAUUCAUCUCCGGGGGUAGAGCACUGUUUCGGCUAGGGGGCCAUCCCGGCUUACCAACCCGAUGCAAACUGCGAAUACCGGAGAAUGUUAUCACGGGAGACACACGGCGG
rnacentral:rRNA from 1 species